GACACUUCAUUUCCUAGCAUCAAACAGGAUCCACAUGUCUUCUGUUUCCGACCCUCUUCAAAAUAACAGCUUUGUGCUUUUUCCUAUUUGUUCUACAGUUGGCCAUCAUUAAUUAGGAAAACGAAUAUGAAUUUACGGUCAGUCCACAGCACUAGCCCAAGUGAUAAAAGGUAAGAACCCAUAAUGAAAAGUUGUUCAUUUGUUACAUGGUUUUAAGUCCUGACUUGUAUAUCGAUGAAGUAAAUGUGAUCAACACAUAAGGAAACUAUUCAAAUCAUUAAAGGACGUAAAACUACACAAGAAAAGAUGAGAGGGGGUGGGGGAACUAUGCUAUAGCCAAAUGCACAGUUUAGUUAUAAAAUCACCUUCUUAGCAAUGUUUUACAAUUAUACAUAAAAAAAAAGGUGUAGAGAGACUCUGCGAUUGCUCUCUCUUCCAACCCUGAACCUUUGACCUUGAAAAUAGUU
rnacentral:misc_RNA from 1 species